rnacentral:rRNA from 1 species
AGCCGGAGCGGCGGACGGGUGAGUAAUGUCUGGGAAUCUGCCCGAUGGAGGGGGAUAACUACUGGAAACGGUAGCUAAUACCGCAUAACGUCGCAAGACCAAAGAGGGGGACCUUCGGGCCUCUCGCCAUCAGAUGUGCCCAGAUGGGAUUAGCUAGUAGGUGGGGUAAUGGCUCACCUAGGCGACGAUCCCUAGCUGGUCUGAGAGGAUGAUCAGCCACACUGGAACUGAGACACGGUCCAGACUCCUACGGGAGGCAGCAGUGGGGAAUAUUGCACAAUGGGCGCAAGCCUGAUGCAGCCAUGCCGCGUGUAUGAAGAAGGCCUUCGGGUUGUAAAGUACUUUCAGCG